ACAGCUUUGCCCUCGGACACAUCAUACAGAAACCACUUCAGAGCUCAGAGCUUACCAGGUACCAGCAAUCCUACUGCCUCCACCCCGCAGACCCCACAGCACCAGCCUUCCAUACCCCAGAGGCUCUGCAGGUGAGAUCAGCCGUGCCAACAUCACUGCAACUUGUGGGGAAAUCAGAGAUCACUCCUUAUCAGCAGCACUGGCAGCCCCUGACGCUGUGCUGAAAAUGGCAUCUCCACAGGCUGCUCAGUCACUCUGCUGCAGGCAGAUGCCUCUCGCUGUGUGGCAGCACCUCCAGCAGUUUGAGCUGGGCACGGGGAACACCAGCUGAUGUUUCUGAGUGGGGACAUGCAGGGCAGCACAUCCUCCAUCCCUGCCCUGCUUCUCCGCAGACGCGAGUCCCACAGGUGCUGUACCGCAAUGGCCGUAACUGGACGUUUCACUCAUACAACACUGACCAUCUCAAUUAACAGCUGCUCACAAAGGCACCAGCAGGCAUAAAGAAACCCGUAAGUCACCCCAGAGCUACUCUAGCAGUUGAAGUGGUGUUUUUUUUGUUUUUUUUUUUUUUCCCUCGCAGCUCACUAAGGAGACAGCCCAGGUUCACUUUGUGAUGCAAAUCAACAAGUUGCUCGGAAGAAAAAAAAAAAAAAAAGGGAGGAAAAAAGGCCUCCGGUGAAAUCGCAGCGCAGCUUCCUCCCUGCACAACAGUCACCGAGCCGCCAGCACCCAGCUCGGGUUCGCACUGUGCCCCCCAAACCCACCGCCCUCCUCCAGACCCCGCACAGCCCUCCCUGGCCUGCCCCUCCGCUCACCCCCGCGUGCCCCUGCAGCGCCGCUGACCU